rnacentral:rRNA from 1 species
CGCCUGGGGAGUACGGCCGCAAGGUUAAAACUCAAAUGAAUUGACGGGGGCCCGCACAAGCGGUGGAGCAUGUGGUUUAAUUCGACGCAACGCGAAGAACCUUACCUGGCCUUGACAUGCGGAGAACUUUCCAGAGAUGGAUUGGUGCCUUCGGGAACUCUGACACAGGUGCUGCAUGGCCGUCGUCAGCUCGUGUCGUGAGAUGUUGGGUUAAGUCCCGUAACGAGCGCAACCCCUAUCCCUAGUUGCUAGCAGUUCGGCUGAGAACUCUAGGGAGACUGCCGGUGACAAACCGGAGGAAGGUGGGGAUGACGUCAGGUCAUCAUGGCCCUUACGGCCAGGGCUACACACGUGCUACAAUGGUGCGCACAGAGGGCUGCAAACCCGCGAGGGGGAGCCAAUCUCACGAAACGCAUCGUAGUCCGGAUCGCAGUCUGCAACUCGACUGCGUGAAGUCGGAAUCGCUAGUAAUCGUGAAUCAGAAUGUCACGGUGAAUACGUUCCCGGGCCUUGUACACACCGCCCGUCACACCAUGGGAGUGGAUUGCACCAGAAGUGGUUAGUCUAACCUUCGGGAGGACGAUCACCACGGUGUGGUUCAUGACUGGGGUGAAGUCGUAACAAGGUAACCGUA